UACAGAGGAGCCAAGCGUUGUCCGGAUUGACUGGGCGUAAAGCGCACGCAGGCGGUUGCGCGCGUGGGGUGUGAAAUCUGGCCGCUUAACGGCCAGGCGCCAUCCCAUACGGCGCGACUGGAGGCUUGCAGAGGUCGGUGGAAUUGCCGGUGUAGUGGUGAAAUGCGUAGAGAUCCGGAAGAACACCGGUGGCGAAGGCGGUCUGCUGGGCAGUUGCUGACACUGAGGCGCGACAGCGUGGGGAGCAAACAGG
rnacentral:rRNA from 1 species